AAGGCUGACAAAGAUGAGGUCACCAGUAGGAGCAGUGUCUUUUACCCUUUAUUACUGACCUGAUGAGCCAAGGCUUCUGAAAACCACCCUCUGAAACCCACAGGCUCAGGGCCUGGAGCCCCAGAUGAGUCACUCAGGCCCUGCCAGAGAGCUCUGUGUCCCUGAUCCGGUUCUACAUAAUCAAAUACAACCCGGUGCAGAUAAUCGAGACAAUGGGGCUGUGUGCUACGGACGGGGGAGGCCAGGAGAGGAGGCUGCAGGCCAGAGCCAGUGGCAGGCUGAGGGGAGACCACGGGGAGCCAGGGUGGCCCACAGGGUCUGGGUCGCUUGCUGGUGUCACGGCAGUAGCAGGGCGGGGGUCCAGCCGCCAGCUUGACCACGGCAGGGCGGGGGUCCGGCCGCCAGCUUGACCACGGCAGGGCGGGGCUUGCAGCUCGGUAGAGGAUUGGACAGGAGCAGGGGGGCGCCCCAGAGGCCACCGCUGCGGAUCUUUCCAGCUGCCAGGUGACUCAGCCCCAAAGGCGCGAAAGGGCAAGCACGUGAGGUGCGCGGGAGACGUAGUAGAAGGGGUGUCCCACGUGGGAAAACGGGGCUGUAGGGAGGAGGUGGGACUGCCGCCGUUUCAGAAGACCGUACUUCCGACGUGGGGGUGGUACGCUCUAGGGGGCGGGACACCCCCCAGGGGCCAAGAGCUGGGGCAGGUAGGGGCGUGGCCUUAGGGCCCGCCUCUCCCGCCUCCUCGGCCUGGGGCUCCAAGCACACCGGACGCAGCUGCGCAACCGCCCCACAGCACGGCCAUGGGUCUUAGUCCUGUCUCGACCCCCCGCGAGCCCGCCCCAUCUGCCGCUUGACUAGAGGCCCAGGUGGUCAUCAUGGGUCAGUGCUACUACAACGAGACCAUCGGCUUUUUCUAUAAUAACAGUGGCAAGGAGCUCAGCCUUCGUUGGCGCCCCAAGGAUGUGGUGGUGGUGGCUCUGGGGCUGACGGUCAGUGUGCUGGUGCUGCUCACCAAUCUGCUGGUUAUCGCAGCCAUCGCCUCCAAUCGACGCUUCCACCAGCCCAUAUACUACCUGCUCGGCAACUUGGCUGCCGCGGACCUCUUCGCUGGCAUGGCCUACCUCUUCCUCAUGUUCCAUACUGGCCCACGAACCGCCAGGCUCUCCAUCAAAGGCUGGUUCCUGCGACAGGGCCUUCUGGACACCAGCCUGACGGCAUCGGUGGCCACACUGCUGGCCAUCGCUGUGGAGCGGCACCGUAGUGUGAUGGCUGUACAGCUACACAGCCGCCUGCCCCGCGGCCGAGUGGUCACACUCAUUGUGGGUGUGUGGGUGGCUGCCCUGGGCCUGGGGUUGCUGCCGGCACACUUCUGGCACUGCCUCUGUGACUUGGACAGUUGCUCACGAAUGGUGCCCCUGUUCAGCCGCUCCUACCUGGCCGCGUGGGCCCUGUCCAGCCUGCUUGUCUUCCUGCUCAUGGUAGCCGUCUACACACGCAUUUUCUUCUACGUGCGUAGACGGGUGGAACGCAUGGCGGAGCAUGUCAGCUGCUAUCCCCGCUACCGAGAGACGACACUCAGCCUAGUCAAGACUGUUGUCAUCAUCCUGGGGGCAUUCGUGGUGUGCUGGACACCAGGCCAGGUGGUGCUGCUCCUAGAUGGUCUGGACUGUAAAUCCUGCAAUGUCCUGGCUGUGGAGAAGUACUUCCUGCUCCUGGCUGAGGCCAACUCACUGGUCAACGCAGUGGUGUACUCCUGCCGAGAUGCCGAGAUGCGCCGCACCUUCCGCCGCCUCCUCUGCUGCAUGUGCUUCCGCUGGUCCAACCACAAAUCUGCCCGCUACUCAUCUUCUGCCCAGACGGGUGCCAGUACCCGAAUCAUGCUUCCUGAGAAUGGCCACCCACUGAUGGACUCCACCCUUUAGCUUCCUUGGACUGAGGCGGGAGACGGGCAGCCAGAGCGUCGUCUGUCUGCACGCCAUGGCCACUUGCAGUUCUCCUGACUCCAUCCAGCCCAGCAGAUGUAUGGCCCUCCAUACUCCCCUAGCCCACAGAUCUGCCUUCCUCUGGGCACAGGGAUUUGGGGACAUCUCCAUGCACAUGGGAGAGCAUCCAGAGGGGCUUGGCAAUCUGACUCUCAGUCAUCUCAGGGCUAGCCUUGAACUUGCAUCCGUCCUGCCUGCAAAUCCUGUGUGCUGGGGUUAGAACUAUGCACUGCCAUCCGGGCUGCUGUCUCUUCCUGGAGUCUUGUGUCGUUCUUUUCUGUCGACUGUCCUUCUACCUGUCUCCCUCCUCAAGAACCCAGGGUGAGUUCUGGUUUUUGUAAGCCUAUUCUUUCAACCUGCCACCCCCAGUAUUGUUAUUGUUUUAUUAUUAAUAUUAAUAUUAUUAAUAUUAUUGUUGUUAUUAUUAUUAUUUUGAGACACAAGAUCUCACAACAUAGCUCAGGCCAUUUUAGAACUCACUGUGUAGCUUCAGGCUAACUUCCAGCUCUCAGCUGUCUUCCUGCCUCUGCUUCCUGAUGCUGGGAUGACAAGCCCGAGACAGCAUGUGCAGAUGGAGCCGGUGUCUGACUACACAGCUUGGAAAUGACACAGACAUGCCAAGAGGGACAGAAAACUCCCCGAGGAAGGGGCUUCCGUGUCCCAUGGGGCCUGGAAUUAAGUCACAAGCUUACCUGGACUUUACCCCUUAUCCCCCAAGGCCUCAGAUAUGCCAGGCCUAAGAUGAGCCCUAUCUCUGCCCAGAGGAGCCCCUGGCAGUCAGUGUGGACCAUGAGCGUGGUUCCCUGCUCCACCUCACCAGAGCAGCCAGAGUUAUAGUCUCACUUUGCAUCCACAUGCCGAGCAACAGCAGGAAUUUGAACCUCUAUCUUAUCUUAAGCCAAAUUCUUCAGGCAUUAAAGCAUCCAUUUCCAAAGAACUGAAAACAUCUCUGUCUCUACAGUAAAUGUUCUCUGCUUUCCCCAUCCUGGGACCUUGCACACACUAGGCAGUUCCCCACCACAGAGCUCUGUCACAGGAACCAUUUCCAAAGGGAAAAUGCCCAUCCCUGCCUCUGUGAGGACACAGAUUGAGCUGAGGGCCUGGGUAGUACUUGAUCCAAUGUGAGCAGUGUGCACUACAGCCAGAGUCUCUCAAGGGGACAACCCAGGAACUGCCAGGUGUCCGUGAAGGACCCUGUCCCCACGUCCAUGGAGUUCCAGGCCUGCUGGACCUGUGUCACUUUGGGUAUUGAGGCAGCCAGUCCAGUCCUCUGGGACCCCCCGCUGGUCAGCUCUCCCCUGUACUUAGGUCUGUCCUCCAUCGUCGUUGUCCAGCUUGUGUUGAGGGACUUGUCAGCUUUUUUUUCUUUCCUUCUUCCACUUUAUAAGUGUUAUGUUUUUUGUUUCUGUUUGUUUGAGACAGGGUCUCCUCUCAAUGUAGUCCUGGCUGUCCUGGAACUCGCUCUGUAGACCAGGCUGGCUUCGAAUUUAGAGAUCCACCUACCUCUGCCUCCUGAGAGCUGGGAUUAGAGAGUGCCUAGCCGUGCGCAUGUGUUUGCACGAAUGUGGGUGUUCUUGUACCUUUGUGUGCAUGUGGAGGUUUGUGUCAGGAAUCCUCGCUGGGGCUCGAUGAAGCAGGGCCUUUCAGUCAAACCCGACCGUCUCACCGGGCAGCUGUCCUGGGGAGGGAGUCCUUUGUCACUGCCCUUCGAGGCUGGAGUCCACACCUGCAUUUAUGUGGAUUUUUGCGGUUCUGAACUCUAGUCUUCACACAUUAACUGCUUAUCUUUCCCCUCCCUCAGCCCAGCUUGAUCUCUCCUCUGCUGGAUGACAUCAGGUUUUUGUCUUUUUAGACCACUGGAAUUCACAGUCCUCUCCCUUCCACCAAACCAGGCCUGCAUAGUGCUGCACCACGGGCUGACAUUUUGUACAGGGCUCCACCCUCGCCCCCUUCAAGGUUCUGUUACUUCCUGUUGCUGGGGCCAAGCCUAUGGUUUCCUUCACCAGGUUUCCCUCAUCCUUUGCAUUCUUGCCGGGUGCCCCUUAGGUCUCACCAUUCCCCACCAGCUGCUUGACAGAACAAAGAUGAUGGCUUUCCAGCCAUGCUAACCCUCACCGAGCCUUCAUCUGAAUCCUGUCGCAGAUCAAACAGAUGCUGGGAGGUUCUGUGACUUUGCAGAGAGAUUUGUGUCCCUUCUUCUUUCUCUUGAGCCUGUUGUCAUGUCAUGAAUGCCAAACAAAAGGCCCAUGAGAGUUCUGACUCACUUGGGGUAUGCCCAAGAGUAGGCAUUCAUUUUUUUAGACACAUGCUAGCAUUUGCUAGACCUGGAAUGCUGGGGUUUGAAGGAAUGAACAGGCCUAAGACAAGCAGGUAAAGGUGCUUUCUGGCAAGCCUGCAGCAUGAGUUCAAUCCCUGGGCCCAUAUGGAAGGAGAGCACCAAGUCCUGAGAGUUGUUUUCUGCCUCCCGAGUGCUGGGAUUAAAGGCGUGCCCCCCCCCCUCUCUCUCUCUUUCUCUCUCUCUCUCUCUCUCUCUCUCUCUCUCUCUCUCUCACACACACACACACACACACGCACACACGACAGAAUAUUUAAAAGAACAGACAGGUUGAGGUCAUUCCUAAACUGGAUUUUGCUAAAACAGUUUACAGAGCUGACUUUAGUGGAGAGAAGUGCUCAGUCCUAGCUUCCUUCCGGCCGUCAUCUGGCCUCUCAGCCAGGUAUAAGGGGCAUAGAGGAAACAGUUCUGGGGAACCUGCCAGAAGGGACCCUACAGGGGCCCAGGAUUGUGGGAACAGUUGUAUAGCUAUCCCUCCAGGUUGGAUAUGGCCUCUGCCAUGUUGACUCAGCAGCUGUGUUCAUUCCCACAGGACCUCACAAGACUGGACCACUAAUGUGCUCUUGUAGAAAGAGGAGACACGGGGCCCUUCUCACAAGAGUGUGAGUGACACACUUCAGCUGUAGCUGCCCCUGCUCCUGUAACCUCAAUAAAGUCCCUGGUUCACAAUA